GGAGAGUUCGCCUAGUGGUCUAUGGCGCUGCUCUGGAAAGGCAGUUGGGGAAACCCUCGUGAGUUCGAAUCUCACACUCUCCGCCA
rnacentral:tRNA from 1 species